rnacentral:rRNA from 1 species
GGGGAAUAUUGCACAAUGGGCGCAAGCCUGAUGCAGCGACGCCGCGUGCGGGAUGACGGCCUUCGGGUUGUAAACCGCUUUUGAUCGGGAGCAAGCCUUCGGGUGAGUGUACCUUUCGAAUAAGCACCGGCUAACUACGUGCCAGCAGCCGCGGUAAUACGUAGGGUGCAAGCGUUAUCCGGAAUUAUUGGGCGUAAAGGGCUCGUAGGCGGUUCGUCGCGUCCGGUGUGAAAGUCCAUCGCUUAACGGUGGAUCUGCGCCGGGUACGGGCGGGCUGGAGUGCGGUAGGGGAGACUGGAAUUCCCGGUGUAACGGUGGAAUGUGUAGAUAUCGGGAAGAACACCAAUGGCGAAGGCAGGUCUCUGGGCCGUUACUGACGCUGAGGAGCGAAAGCGUGGGGAGCGAAC